rnacentral:rRNA from 1 species
UACGGGGGGGGGCAAGCGUUGUUCGGAAUUACUGGGCGUAAAGAGCUCGUAGGUGGUUUGUCGCGUUGUUCGUGAAAACUCACAGCUUAACUGUGGGCGUGCGGGCGAUACGGGCAGACUGGAGUACUGCAGGGGAGACUGGAAUUCCUGGUGUAGCGGUGGAAUGCGCAGAUAUCAGGAGGAACACCGGUGGCGAAGGCGGCAUCCUGGACCGGUAUUGACGCUGAGGCGCGAAAGCCAGGGGAGCAAACGGG